rnacentral:snRNA from 1 species
UCGACGGGCUGAAAGGCUUGUUGC